AAAAGGCCAGGCAAGGCAGACCUGACCCACAGAUAACGCGGUUUUUCUGUUCUUAUAUCCUUUCAGCACAGAACCCAAGUCCUGGGAAGCAGGGUAUGGUUUUCAGGACUGAAUUGAUUUUUCCUGUGCCUUAUCCGGGAAACCUGAGUGUCUUAACGUGGUGAUCUGAGAGAAUGGGCUGCUUCAUGUUCACACACACGAAUUGCUCAACUUCCAGAAUGAAGUGGAGAAAGAAGGAAGAAUCAGUAUAUACAUCUUGCAGAGGAUGCCUGAUGGGGAGCAAUGGAGGACCCACCAUAGGAUUCUCGCCCCUGGGCUGAGAUGGAAGAUGGACCUGUGAACACUUCUCAGCCCAUUUAUCCUAUUGCAUGAACCAUUAUCACAGGCAGGUAAGAAAUUAGGCAUAACCA
rnacentral:lncRNA from 1 species